rnacentral:rRNA from 1 species
AUUGAACGCUGGCGGCAGGCCUAACACAUGCAAGUCGAACGAGUGGCGGACGGGUGAGUAAUGUCUGGGAAACUGCCCGAUGGAGGGGGGUAACUACUGGAAACAGUAGAUAAUACCGCAUACCAUCGGAUGUGCCCAGAUGGGAUUAGCUAGUAGGUGGGGUAACGGCUCACCUAGGCGACGAUCCCUAGCCGGGCGUCGAGGAUGACCAGCCAAAAUGGAAAUGGGACACGGGCCAGGCGCCUACGGGAGGCAGCAGGGGGGAAUAUUGCACAAUGGGCGCAAGCCUGAUGCAGCCAUGCCGGGUGUAUGAAGAAGGCCUUCGGGUUGGAAAGUACUUUCGGCGAGGAGGCGUUACUCGCAGAAGAAGCACCGGCUAACUCCGUGCCAGCAGCCGCGGUAAUAC